AGUGAACGCUGGCGGCGUGCUUAACACAUGCAAGUCGAACGAGAACGGGUUAUAGCUUGCUAUAAUUGUCAGCUAAGUGGCGCACGGGUGAGUAAUGUAUAGGUAAUAUGCCUCUUACUAAGGGAUAACAAAUGGAAACGUUUGCUAAUACCUUAUACUCCUUUUAAACAGAAGUUUAAAAGGGAAAGAUUUAUUGGUAAGAGAUUAGCCUGUAUUGUAUCAGUUAGUUGGUGGGGUAAUGGCUUACCAAGACUAUGACACAUAACUGGUUUGAGAGGAUGAUCAGUCACACUGGAACUGAGACACGGUCCAGACUCCUACGGGAGGCAGCAGUGGGGAAUAUUGCACAAUGGACGAAAGUCUGAUGCAGCAACGCCGCGUGGAGGAUGACACAUUUCGGUGCGUAAACUCCUUUUGUAUGAGAAGAUAAUGACGGUAUUAUAUGAAUAAGCACCGGCUAACUCCGUGCCAGCAGCCGCCGUAA
rnacentral:rRNA from 1 species